CGUCUUUGUUCCAAUCGCCGUGUAAGCCCUAUACAGAGGAUAGGCUGGUUCGCUUAAAGAGAAUCUUUUCUAUGAUCAGGUCCGAAUCAUGUUGUACAUGAGCAGGCUCCGUAAGAUCCAGUAUACGUGAACUAGAUAAAACGGAAUCAAGAUUCCGUUUUAUCUAGUUCACUUAUAAGAUUAAAUAGUAUGUAAAUGUAUUCAUUUCCUCUG
rnacentral:lncRNA from 1 species